UGGUUUUGAUGCCUCGCCCUAUACAUCAGAUCUAGAUGUUCCCUCAUCAGUUGAUACGAGUAUCACCUCUCCAGAGCCCAAAUCAGUUGAUACGAGUAGUAUCACCUCUCCCAUUCCUUCAGACUCCCAAGCACCUGCCCAUCCCACUCCAUAGCCCAGCCACCCACUCUCAUGUACCAUAUGGCCAUCCCAGUAAGCAAGCCAACCACUAGAAUUUGACUGGCAUGCACCUGUGACUUACAUAAACCAGACCUCUACAUAGCCUACAUGUCUUCAUUUUGCUGAAGGUAAGGAAUUCUCAGUUGUGUUUAAUGUUUGCAUACGUACAAUAAAUUUUGUACACCUAAGUGGUUACAUACUGUCCUUUAAUAUUAAUUCUUCAU